rnacentral:rRNA from 1 species
CUCCGGUUGAUCCUGCCGGACCCGACUGCUAUCAGAGUGAGAUUAAGCCAUGCGAGUUAACGUAGCAAUACGUGGCGCACGGCUCAGUAACACGUAGUCAACAUGCCCAGAGGACGUGGAUAACCUCGGGAAACUGAGUCUAAACCGCGAUAAGUGAGGAUUUCUGGAAUGGUUCCUGACUAAAAUCUAUAUGGCCUCUGGAUUGGACUGCGGCCGAUCAGGCUGUUGGUGAGGUAAUGGCCCACCAAACCUGUAACCGGUACGGGCUCUGAGAGGAGGAGCCCGGAGAUGGGCACUGAGACAAGGGCCCAGGCCCUAUGGGGCGCAGCAGGCGCGAAACCUCUGCAAUAGGCGAAAGCCUGACAGGGUUACUCUGAGUGACUUUCGCUAAGAAAGUCUUUUGGCACCUCUAAAAAGGGUGCAGAAUAAGGGGUGGGCAAGUCUGGUGUCAGCCGCCGCGGUAAUACCAGCACCCCGAGUGGUCGGGACGAUUAUUGGGCCUAAAGCAUCCGUAGCCGGUUCUACAAGUCUUCCGUUAAAUCCACCUGCUUAACAGAUGGGCUGCGGAAGAUACUAUAGAGCUAGGAGGCGGGAGAGGCAAGCGGUACUCGAUGGGUAGGGGUAAAAUCCGUUGAUCCAUUGAAGACCACCAGUGGCGAAGGCGGCUUGCCAGAACGCGCUCGACGGUGAGGGAUGAAAGCUGGGGGAGCAAACCGGAUUAGAUACCCGGGUAGUCCCAGCUGUAAACGAUGCAGACUCGGUGAUGAGUUGGCUUAUUGCUAACUCAGUGCCGCAGGGAAGCCGUUAAGUUUGCCGCCUGGGGAGUACGGUCGCAAGACUGAAACUUAAGGAAAUGGCGGGGGAGCA